AGAUGAGGUAGAGGUCGCGAAGAGCGAUGAGUAGAUUGUGAAGAGGCGUUAGAAGCCGCUGGUUGAUUCGCAAUUGAAAGGCACCCUUCGCCGAAGUAUACAGGCUGCUUCUUCUAUUAGCCAAGUAUGCUGGGUCUGUUUUCCGAAUAGGGACAGAACUGUCAUGGUUUCCUUCCAUAGGACAUCAUGUUGGGCUAUCUUUCAU
rnacentral:ncRNA from 2 species